rnacentral:rRNA from 1 species
GACGAACCGUGCGAACGUUGUUCGGAAUCACUGGGCUUAAAGGGCGCGUAGGCGGGUCACCAAGUCUGUGGUGAAAGCCUCCAGCUUAACUGGAGAAGUGCCGUGGAUACUGGUGGUCUCGAGGGAGGUAGGGGCAUGUGGAACUUCCGGUGGAGCGGUGAAAUGCGUAGAUAUCGGAAGGAACGCCGGUGGCGAAGGCGGCAUCCUGGACCGGUAUUGACGCUGAUGCGCGAAAGCCAGGGGAGCAAACGGG